rnacentral:rRNA from 1 species
CAGAGGGGGAUAACGUUUGGAAACGAACGCUAAUACCGCAUGAUAUUAUUGAGCUGCAUGGCUUGAUAAUCAAAGGAGCAAUCCGCUGAAAGAUGGGCUCGCGUCCGAUUAGGUAGUUGGCGGGGCAACGGCCCACCAAGCCGACGAUCGGUAGCCGGACUGAGAGGUUGAACGGCCACAUUGGGACUGAGACACGGCCCAGACUCCUACGGGAGGCAGCAGUGAGGGAUAUUGGUCAAUGGGGGAAACCCUGAACCAGCAACGCCGCGUGAGGGAAGACGGUUUUCGGAUUGUAAACCUCUGUCCUCUGUGAAGAUAAUGACGGUAGCAGAGGAGGAAGCUCCGGCUAACUACGUGCCAGCAGCCGCGGUAAUACGUAGGGAGCAAGCGUUGUCCGGAUUUACUGGGUGUAAAGGGUGCGUAGGCGGCUUUGCAAGUCAGAAGUGAAAUCCAUGGGCUUAACCCAUGAACUGCUUUUGAAACUGCAGAGCUUGAGUGGAGUAGAGGUAGGCGGAAUUCCCGGUGUAGCGGUGAAAUGCGUAGAGAUCGGGAGGAACACCAGUGGCGAAGGCGGCCUGCUGGGCUCUAACUGACGCUGAGGCACAAAAGCGUGGGUAGCAAACAGGAUUAGAUACCCUGGUAGUCCACGCUGUAAACGAUGAUUACUAGGUGUGGGUGGACUGACCCCAUCCGUGCCGGAGU